rnacentral:lncRNA from 1 species
AACCUGUGGCGCGCUCCGCGGUUCCGGCGCCUGAAGUUUUAGCUGCGGUGGCGGCGGCAGUCGGGACCGACUGCAAGAUGUCAUUUGUCAGAGUGAACCGCUGUGGUCCCCGAGUUGGUGUAAGAAAGACACCGAAAGUAAAGAAGAAGAAAACUUCAGUGAAACAAGAAUGGGAUAAUACCGUGACUGAUCUAACCGUUCAUCGGGCAACUCCCGAAGAUCUGGUACGCCGUCAUGAAAUACACAAAUCGAAGAAUAGAGCAUUAGUACACUGGGAACUCCAAGAAAAAGCUUUGAAGAGAAAAUGGAGGAAGCAGAAACCAGAAACUUUAAAUCUUGAGAAAAGAAGAUUGUCUAUCAUGAAGGAGAUUCUUUCUGAUCAAUACCAGAUGCAAGAUGUGUUGGAGAAAUCUGAUCAUCUAAUAGCUGCAGCAAAAGAGCUGUUUCCUCGUAGGCGCACAGGGUUUCCAAAUGUAACAGUGGCUCCUGAUUCCUCUCAGGGUCCCAUUGUGGUAAAUCAAGACCCUAUCACCCAAUCUAUCUUUAAUGAGUCUGUCAUAGAACCUCAGGCUCUUAAUGAUGUAGAUGGUGAAGAAGAAGGAACUGUUAAUAGCCAGUCAGGAGAAAGUGAGAAUGAGAAUGAGUUGGAUAACUCUCUAAACUCUCAGUCUAACACGAAUACAGACAGGUUUCUCCAACAACUAACAGAAGAGAAUUUUGAGUUAAUUAGUAAGUUGUGGACUGACAUUCAGCAGAAAAUAGCAACCCAGUCACAAAUAACUCCUCCAGGAACGCCAUCAUCUGCUCUUUCAUCAGGGGAGCAAAGAGCUGCUCUGAAUGCUACCAAUGCUGUCAAGAGACUCCAAACCAGGCUUCAGCCUGAAGAAUCUACUGAGACUCUAGACUCAAGCUACGUUGUGGGACACGUGCUGAACUCAAGGAAGCAAAAACAGCUGUUAAAUAAAGUGAAAAGGAAACCGAAUUUGCAUGCUCUUUCCAAGCCGAAGAAAAACAUAUCAUCAGGUAGCACAACCUCUGCAGACUUACCAAAUAGGACUAAUUCCAACCUGGAUGUCCUCAAACACAUGAUACAUGAAGUGGAACAUGAAAUGGAAGAAUAUGAGCGGUGGACAGGUCGCGAGGUCAAGGGUCUGCAGAGCAGUCAGGGUCUUACAGGCUUCACUUUGUCGCUGGUGAGCUCCCUCUGUCGCCUGGUUCGGUACCUUAAAGAGAGUGAGAUCCAGCUACGUAAAGAAGUAGAGACAAGGCAACAACUGGAACAAGUAUUAGGUGAUCAUCGAGAGCUCAUUGAUGCUCUGACAGCUGAAAUUCUUCGUCUUAGAGAAGAAAACGCUGCUACACAGGCAAGACUUCAGCAGUACAUGGUCACAACAGAUGAGCAACUGAUAUCACUCACACAUGCUAUUAAGAACUGUCCUGUGAUAAAUAACAGACAAGAAAUUCAGGCAUCAGAAAGCGGAGCCACAGGUAGAAGAGUUAUGGACAGUCCAGAGCGUCCAGUUGUAAAUGCCAAUGUCUCAGUGCCAUUGAUGUUCAGAGAGGAAGUGGCUGAAUUCCCACAGGAAGAGUUGCCCGUUAAACUGUCUCAGGUGCCAGACCCUCCAGAUAACAUGAAUCUGGCCAAGAAUUUUCCAGCACAUAUUUUUGAGCCAGCUGUGUUGUUAACACCACCCAGGCAGAAGAGCAACUUAAAAUUCUCUCCUCUUCAGGACGUAUUGAGAAGGACUGUUCAAACUCGUCCUGCUCCACGACUUCCUCCAACUGUGGAAAUAAUUGAGAAGGAACAAAAUUGGGAAGAGAAGACCUUACCUAUUGAUACAGACAUUCAGAAUUCAAGUGAAGAGAAUCGUCUCUUCACUCAGAGAUGGAGAGUCUCUCACAUGGGAGAAGAUUUGGAGAACAAAACUCAGGCUCCUUUUGUUAACCUCUCACAGCCCCUCUGCAAUUCCCAUUCCAACACUCAACAGUCAAGAAGCCCCACAUUCUCAGAAGAGCUCCCAGUACUGGGAGAUGGGCAGCAGCUGAGAACAAAUGAGUCAUUAAUACAAAGAAAGGACAUAAUGACACGAAUUGCUGAUUUGACAUUGCAGAAUUCAGCUAUCAAGGCACAUAUGAAUAAUAUUAUUGAGCCCAGAGGAGAGCAAGGGGAUGGACUCCGGGAGUUGAACAAACAAGAAAGUGCAAGUGACAUGACUUCUACUUUUCCAGUAGCACAGUCUCUAACACCAGGUAGUAUGGAGGAACGGAUUGCAGAAUUGAAUCGACAAAGUAUGGAGGCUCGUGGAAAACUACUGCAGUUGAUAGAGCAGCAGAAACUUGUUGGUUUGAAUCUUUCUCCACCAAUGUCACCUGUUCAGUUACCUCUCAGAGCAUGGACUGAAGGAGCAAAGAGGACAAUUGAGGUAUCUAUUCCAGGAGCAGAAGCCCCAGAAAGCUCAAAAUGUAGUACUGUCUCUCCCGUCAGCGGGAUAAAUACAAGAAGAUCUUCCGGGGCUACUGGUAAUUCUUGUUCUCCACUAAAUGCCACCUCAGGAAGUGGGAGAUUCACACCUCUUAAUCCAAGAGCAAAGAUUGAGAAACAGAAUGAAGAAGGCUGGUUUGCUCUUUCUACCCAUGUAUCAUAAGUGAAGUCAAGUCUCACUGAUCAUUGCUGUUCAUCACUUUUUCCAUCAAGUGAAAUAUACAGCCUUAAAAACAAUAGGCCUGGGAGUGUUUGUUUAUAUUUGCUUAAGCAGUGUCAUGAGGCGGAGAAGGCCCGACCAAAGGGCGGAUAGGUACCGGGUUCCCGGAGAGCUGGACGCCGGCCGCGCAUGCGCCCCACGGCCCGCCCUGGUUCCGCCUCCCUGGAAGAGGGGUGGCGUUGUCUCGGUAACCGGAGUAAACGGAGGCCUCCGGCAGACGCUGUGAAGAGAGGAGCCGCGGCGGUCAGUACCUUCGAGGAAAUGAAGGAACCAGAUGAUCAGGAUACUGAUGGGGAGAAAUCAGUUACAUCAAAGAGUGAUGGGAAGAAGUCUCUGAGGUCUUCUAAAUCAGAAUCAAGAUCUCCUGUUCAAGAAGAUAACACAUUUUUAGAAGAUGACACAGAUGAAACAUUUACCAAAGGGGAAGGAUCAUAUUUAGAAGAAGACUCAGAUGAGGAACGUUUGGAAGGAAGUUUGAGUUCAUUUCAGUAUGGUGAUUUGCAAAGCACUACAGUACCUCAGCAAACCCCUGCUCCAGCUGUGGAAGAAGCAGAGGAGGAAGUUAAGAAGAAAAUAUCAGAGAGCUUCUUCUAUGAUUAUAUGGAGCUUGCUUCGAUGCCUUUUGUGACUCUGGAUUCAAACAUACCACUGGAUCUUCUCACACUUGUGUAUCCACCCUGGCUAAAUAUGUAUAAUUUUGGGAUUUUCAUUUCUUAGGUCAGAGGUCAGCAAACUAUAGCCCAGGGAGCCCAAAUGUGCCUUCCCACCUGUUUUGGUAAAUCAAGUUUUAUUGCAACACAGCCACAUCCAUUUGCUUACAUUUUGUUUAUUAUGGCUGCCAUCACACAACAAGGACAGGGAUAAGUAGUUGUGACAGAGACCAUCUGGCUCACAAGGCAAAAACUAUUUACUACCUUCCCUUUAUAAAAAAAUGUGUGCCAACCCAUAUUAGGUAAUUCUAAGAAGCUUGAAUUCUUAGAGAUUUGAUAGAAAUGCAUGAUCUUAAUUUAAACUAAGCUUUUGUUUGAUGCCAAAUAACCAUACAGAGAAAUAUUUUUUCUGGCUGUCCUUUGCACAAGUGGAAAGGCUGCAGUUCAUGAGAUCUGAGUGAAGGAAAUCAGAAGGCUUCUUCUUCCCAUUUACUUUUGUCAGUGCCUGUCAAGUUACAUAAUCAAUUUCCCUUCUUGAAACACUUAUGUGUCUGUCCAUUGUAAGGCAUUAGUACUUUCACAUUAUAUAUCAGAUGAGCUAUCAGAGAAGACAAUUCUUAGGAAACAGGGCACAAAAUAUAAAGUUUUAAUUGGUUUGGAGAAUAAGAGUCUUUUAAGAUAUGUAGAAACAGGAUGAUUGACAAGGGGAUUUUGUGUUCGUCAUCACAUUAUGAUGUUAGGUUUGCAAUGCGGGUAGUUAGAAAACAGUUUUCAUUGAGGUCCUUAGCUGGCAAUGUACUGUGCUUCCCUUUUGGAUAGUUAGUACUUAUCACCACGUGGCCUAAACCACCAACUGGCCUCUUACAUAAGGAAUACUUACAGAGAUAGGGUGGUGUACUCCCUGACUCAGUUUUGCUUUUUACAUAAAAACAUAAAAAUAGAACAUGUUGUUAAAUCCCAGGUGUAACUAAAUUAAUUCGUGCUGAUUUAUCUUGUAACCUGGAAUUUUCUCUCUUCAUGGCUUUUUUUUUCCUUAUCUUUGGACAAGUUUCUGACAAAAGUUAUGCUGUUUGCUUUCUUUUAGCCUUUUUUUCCCAAAUGGGAUGGGGUGGUAUAUUAGAGUCCCCUGGAAGUUUUUCCUAAAGUACACAAUGCUCUGAUGCCUUCCGGGACCUACUGUGCUAGUUCUUUGUGGAGAGGGACUUGGGAAUAUGUACUCUGAAGAAACUCCGAGUUGGUUUGGCAGUGCACUGCCUUCUCACUGCUCCAGGAUGGGAGGGUCUGUAUUAGACAAAUAUGCCUAAAUUCUAAACAUCAGAGUCAGAAGAACCUUAACUUUUAUUCCAAUAUAUGAAUUAUCUCUAUUCGUGCUGGAUGGGUGGCUGUAUAAACUAUAGCCUUUUCUUAAACAUUUUCAACACCAGGAAAAUCACAAAGUAGCUUACCCCACUUUUGGACGGCUCACUAGAGAGCUUUUUGGGCCUUGAAUAAAAUUCUGCCUUGCUGGGAUGGCCCCCAUUAGAUUUAGUUCUCCUCUCUGCAGAUGGACAUAUAUAAUCUCUAUAUCUUGUGAGGAAUUCUAGGAAGAACAAGUCAGCCAUCAGGUAUUCCCUAAGUACUCUUUUAAUUAACCCUUUAAUGAUUAUUAGUAUAUUAUAUUGAUUCUACUUCAGUUUUUGCUUUUUUGUUUUGUUCUGUUUUGUUUUGAGAUGGAGUCUUGCUCUGUCGUCCAGGCUGGAGUGCAAUGGCACGAUCUCUGCUUACUGCAACCUCCGCCUGCCGGGUUCAAGCAAUUCUCCUGCCUCAGCCUCCCGAGUAGCUGGGACUAUAGGCAUGCACCACCACAUCCAGCUAAUUUUUGUAUUUUUAGUAGAGAUUGGGUUUCACCAUAAUGGCCAGGCUGGUCUCGAACUCCUGACCUCGUGAUCUGCCCGCCUUGGCCUCCCAAAAUGCUGGGAUUACAGGUGUGAGCCACCGCGCCUAGCCCUCUACUUCAGUUUUUAAAUUUAUGUCUUCUAAAUUUUAGCAAUGUUAAAUCAAGUUUAGCCUAAAGCUGCCUCCUUACAUACUUUAAGUUCAGCCUCCAGGUUUCUCUGUACAUGGUGAACUAUAACCUAAAGGGAGUUAGACUCUAGCCUACUCUUGAGCCAGUUACUGAGUUGUGGUCAAAGGUGGCCAACUGUUCAAACUGUGUUAAAAUAAGGCAGAUGCCAAGCUGUAACCAAUUCGGCUAUUUCUGUACCUCACUUUCGUUUUCUGUAUGUCACUUUCCUUUUUCAGUCCAUAAAUCUUCCUGCACGUGGCUGUGCUGGAGUCUCUGGGCCUACUCUGGCUCAGAAGGCUGCCGAAUUCUUGAAUGGUUCUUUGCUCAAUUAAACUCUGUUAAAUUUAA